AUGAACAUCGCCCUCUUGACCCGCUGGCUCUGGCGCAUCGCCAAUGGGGACGGUGGCCUCUGGCUUACUAUCAUCCAGAACAAGUACCUGCGUGGACAGCCACUGGCGUUCUGCCAACGCUCGGGCGGUUCCCAGUUUUGGCAGGCCGUCGUCCGGCUGCUUCCGGUCUUACGUAUAGGCACUUCCAUCUCUGUGGGCUCUGGAGCUUCGACCUUGUUCUGGCUGGACAAGUGGCUCGGAGGCUCCCCUCUAGCCGCCCGGUUCCCCAUCCUCUUCGACAUUGUAGUUGACCCUCGGGUCUCAGUCGAGGCGGCCCUUAUUGACUUAGGGCGCCUCGCGUUCCGCCGCCCUUUUGGCCCCGCUGAGGUGGCUGCCUGGGAUGUCCUCCUCCAGGACAUCGCCCUGCUACCUAUGGACGUGGCAGAUUCUUCGGACUCCAUCUCCUGGCGCCUAGACCCCUCCGGCCGCUUCUCCACCAAAUCCCUCUACGCGGCCAUUGCCCCUUCGUCAGCCCCGGAGCCCUUUGGUCUUAUCUGGGACAUCCGCCUCCCACUUAAGAUUCGGAUCUUUCUUUGGCAAUGGAUCCGCGGCCGCCUCCCGGCCGGCGUUGAGGUUCUUAAGCGCCAUGGUCCUGGCGAUGGAAUGUGCCCCCUGUGUGGCACGGUAGAGGACGCUAAUCACAUCUUCUUCCUGUGCUACACGGCACAGUUCCUUUGGUCUUGUUUCCGCGAAACGGUUGGGGGACAGUGGUGCAACACCAACUUCCCUGACCUGCAUGCGGAAAUUCAAGCCUCCCCCCUCGCUACAGACAUAUUAGAUGGCUGUGCGUCGGGGUUCUAG
rnacentral:rRNA from 1 species